GAGGCGGCCCCGCCCGGCCCCUCCGCCACCACCCCCGCUCCGCAGGGUCGCGGCCAGCGCUGCUCUGCCCGUCCCCUCAUCGCCCCGGCCGAGCCCCGCUGCGGAGCGGAGCGGAGCCUCCCCCCGCCCUGUGCGGUGUUCUCUCCCCGGCAGGUCCCGCACGGCGCGGCCCCGCAGCGCCCAGGCCCCUCAUGCCACUUGCCCGGGGGCUGCCGGGGGUCGCCCGGGCGGUCGGGAGCGAGGGGAGCCUGGGCCGAGUCGCUUGGGUUGGUGCCCGCUGGGGUCGUGUUUUGGGGUCUGCAAGAGGCAGAAAAUGUCUGCAGAGCCCCUGACUGUUUUGUGGAGGUCUAAAGACUCCUUUGGCGGUCAUAGAGGGAAGCGGGGGAGAGCGGGAAGAGGCUGGAAGGUGAGGGAUGAGCUGGCCUGAAGCAGCGUAGUGCAGGGGGAUGAGGAGCCAGAGCAUCUCUGGGAUUUCUUUGGUCUUCAGUGAAAAUCUUCAGUGAGUUACCUACCAUGGGAGUCGGGAUGUCAACAGCCUCCAAAGUCUGUAAAGGGUUGAGAAGCACAUCUGUUAUGGCAUUUGUCCCUGUACAGAGAGUCAGUGAAGACAACUGAAACCCUUACAUCACAUUUUUGUGGUCUAUAAAGCUCAUUCAAUAUUAAACCAUUUCUGUGGGUUUCAGUUUGAAGCAGAUUCCAAGAGCAGUGAAUGAAAAUAAAAAUUUUAUGACUAUAGAUUUAAUAAAGUUUUUCUUUCUAAUCAAAAGGAUAAGCUAUGAGGAUGUUCAUACAUGAAUAGUAGCAUUGUAUUCAGGUAUAAGAAAUAAAAUUCUGAAUUUUCUCAGUUCAGAAAGAAAUAAAGUAACUGUAGGGCCAUCAGACUGGAUGUCAGUAUCAGCCACAGGAAGAUGGAAUAAUGCUCCUUAGUGUUGGAAGGCUCCAAAAAUACACCAAAAAUAUAGAUACAUCUUAAACAAUACAGAUGUUGUGCAGUGUCCCAGCCAUUGAAUUAAAGAAUACUUUUGUUCCAAAUCUAGACAGUCAAACAGGUUUUAUUUUUAAAGAAACAUUGCUUAAUAGUUUCCAUACAGGAAAGUCUUAGACCAUUGCAUGUCUUUUUUUUCCCUAUUUUUUAAAUUUUUUUAUUUAUCAGUGCUUGAAUAAUCUGGUAUUCUUAAACCCCUCAGGCAAACUCUUUGACUUCCUCUGCUUGGAAGAUGGGUUUUAGCCAUGCAUUGUUUCUUAAAAUGUUUAUGUUGUCACACUUAUCAUAUUUUUCUCAGCUGGAAAAACAUUUUUGUAGAAAAUCCUGUUUGCUGGUUGUCUCAAAGGUUUCAGAAGUGCUUGCACCUUUCAUUUAGGCCAAAAAAAUUUUACAUGCAGGUAUUUUAUAUUGCUUUGGGGAACAUCAAAGCGAAAACUUAGCAAGUCAAACAUCUUUUUCGAAUGGUGCUUUUUUGUAUGGAUAGGAAGUUAGUUCCAUUAAAAUAGUCAAAACCCCCAGGAAUAAAGAUAUCUCUCUUCUAAGAAUUUUGCAGGGGUUUCUCUCAGAUUAACUUUGAAAUCAUAUCCUGAAUUUUAUUUGCAGUUCAAUUCCUAUUCUUGACACAUUUGAGGGUGUGUGGUUUUUUAAGAUUUCUAAAUGAGUUUUAUCUACUUCUAGCAUCAAAUAUGACUGGUUUUGGAAGGCAGUGCAUGUUUCCAUUGUGUAACACUGAUAGGGCCACUUGUGAGUCAUUGAGGAAAAAACACCAGAAUGUCCCAGUGAGGAAAACAGAAUGCAUCAAAAAUUGCAAAGCUUCACUCUGGAAGUUGGGCUGCCUGAAGGCAUCAGCUUGGGACUGUGGGCAUCUGGUCUGUAGUUAACCUAACCAGUGU